UUACUUUGACACUUACCACCUACCUAAACAUUGCUGAAGUACACCCCUUCAUGGCAACGGUAUUCCCUAAUGG